rnacentral:rRNA from 1 species
UACAGAGGGUGCGAGCGUUAAUCGGAAUUACUGGGCGUAAAGCGCGCGUAGGCGGCUUUGCAAGUCGGGUGUGAAAUCCCCGGGCCUAACCUGGGAACUGCAUUUGUGACUGCAUAGCUAGAGUCCGUCAGAGGGGGGUGGAAUUCCACGUGUAGCAGUGAAAUGCGUAGAGAUGUGGAGGAACACCGAUGGCGAAGGCAGCCCCCUGGGAUGAGACUGACGCUCAUGUACGAAAGCGUGGGGAGCAAACAGG